GACGGAGGAUGCAAGCGUUAUCCGGAAUGAUUGGGCGUAAAGCGUCCGCAGGUGGCAGUUCAAGUCUGCUGUCAAAGACCGGGGCUUAACUUCGGAAAGGCAGUGGAAACUGAACAGCUAGAGUAUGGUAGGGGCAGAGGGAAUUCCUGGUGUAGCGGUGAAAUGCGCAGAUAUCAGGAGGAACACCGGUGGCGAAGGCGGAUCUCUGGGCCUUACCUGACGCUCAGGUGCGAAAGCUAGGGGAGCGAACAGG
rnacentral:rRNA from 1 species